rnacentral:rRNA from 1 species
UGGGGAAUAUUGCACAAUGGGCGCAAGCCUGAUGCAGCCAUGCCGCGUGUGUGAAGAAGGCCUUCGGGUUGUAAAGCACUUUCAGCGAGGAGGAAGGUGGUGAACUUAAUACGUUCAUCAAUUGACGUUACUCGCAGAAGAAGCACCGGCUAACUCCGUGCCAGCAGCCGCGGUAAUACGGAGGGUGCAAGCGUUAAUCGGAAUUACUGGGCGUAAAGCGCACGCAGGCGGUUUGUUAAGUCAGAUGUGAAAUCCCCGGGCUCAACCUGGGAACUGCAUUUGAAAACUGGCAAGCUAGAGUCUCGUAGAGGGGGGUAGAAUUCCAGGUGUAGCGGUGAAAUGCGUAGAGAUCUGGAGGAAUACCGGUGGCGAAGGCGGCCCCCCUGGACGAAGACUGACGCUCAGGUGCGAAAAGCGUGGGGAGCAAAACAGGAUUAGAUACCCCUGGUAGUCCACGCUGUAAAACGAUGUCGAUUUUGGAGGUUGUG